CUCUCUCUCUCCCUCCCUCUCUCUCCCUCUCCCCCUCUCUCUCUCUGCCUCCUCCACUAAUGCUCUUCUUUUACUCUGUAUUGUCAUUCAUUCCAUCAGUCAGGAAGAAGAACCCGUUUGAAUACAACAGGCCUGCCUCCCAAAUGGCACCCUAUUCCCUAUAUAGUGCACUACUUUAGACCAGGGCCCGUAGGGACUAAUAUAGGGAAUAGGGCACCAUUGAGAUACAUGGCAGAAUGGGAUCCUGUGAGAUUGAUAGUGACAUGAAGACAGAAUGCAGGGCAGGACAGAGAAAGGCUUAUUUGCACUUGAAAACAAAAACACUACAGAUUAUUACCAAAACCCUGCCGCCUUCACUGUAGUCUUUAAAGUCCUUCAAUGGCUCUCUCUCUUUCUCUCUGUUCAGAGAGUGGUGUGUGUAACUCCUGGUCUCCACAUUGUGUGUGUGUGCGUGCGAUGUUAAUGAGCUUAAUCUAAUCUGUCUGCUCCACUAUUCCCAGAUUACUGUAAUAUGACCCGUUUGGUGCCGUGUGAUAUGGGAACUACACUAUAUCCCAUAAUGAGGGUUAGCUAACACUGGUGUCGCCAUGGAGAUGUCUCAUUCAGGGAAGUGAGGAGAGGAGGUACCCCAGGGGUUAAAUUGAAGAGGACAGGAUUAGAAUUCGUGUAGAACAGACCAGUAGCUGUAAAACCCACAGGAUUAUCUUUGAAUUGGGAUAGAGGUUCUCUAUUCAUUGUAAUGCUAUGGUACGGAGUCUGGGAGCCCGUUUAAAAGGACCCCUCUUAUAGGACCAUAUUUAGCCUAUUGUGAUGUCAUCAAUUAGGCUUGCGUCAUGUCACUAUGACGUCAUCAGUUAGAAUGUUCAAAGGACUGCGUCAUCACCACAUUGUGAUGUCAUCAGUUAGAGGGUGUGUUCCUCUGUUCAGACGUUGCUGACGCCAGAUCUUACAUCGCCUGGAUAGGUAUUUUACAGAUCAGCUAAACACAUCACAUGCUAAAGCAAUCUGGUGCAACCAGUGGUUGAUGCAUGUGACAUCUGAGCAGAGAGACGCAACCAGAAUGUUUUAACAAAGGAUCACUUCAUCUGGUUGUGAUGUCAUCAGUUGGAAUGUUCUACAAAGGGCUACAUCCAAUUAUGAUGUCAGAAUCCCAGAAUAAAGCACAAUGAGUAAACUGUCACUAUACCCUGAAUCAGAACCUGAAGCAGAUACAGUAUGUGACUUAACCCGUGUCCAAGCUGGCCUGAUGUCGGCCCCAAAUCCUACAGGGAUCCUCUAAGAAUGAGAAGAAGAGGCUUCAGUGCACUUCCUGUUCCUCGUUCCGAAUGUCAUGGGCAGGAAAUGUGCGCUUUACUUACUGGCUUCCAGACAGGCAGAGAGAGGGACAGAUGGGCAGAGAGAAGGGCAGACAGACAAGCAGAGAGAGUGACAGACUGGCAGAGAGAGGGGCAGAGCUUGUCAGAGGGGACACUGUUUAGUCAGUGUGGUUUGGUCGUGGUGGGCCGGCGACCACAGCUGCCUAUAGUGUUGAGGUCAGCCCCUUUUCUCAGAUUUUGGGUAGAGAAAGGAGGUCUCCUCCUGUACCCCUCUAUAGACCCAGACACCCUGAGGUCUCCUCCUCUACCCCUCUAUAGACCCAGACACCCUGAGGUCUCCUCCUGUACCCCUCUAUAGACCCAGACACCCUGAGGUCUCCUCCUGUACCCCUCUAUAGACCCAGACACCCUGAGGUCUCCUCCUGUACCCCUCUAUAGACCCAGACACCCUGAGGUCUCCUCCUCUACCCCUCUAUAGACCCAGACACCCUGAGGUCUCUCCCUCUACCCCUCUAUAGACCCAGACACCCUGAGGUCUCCUCCUCUACCCCUCUAUAGACCCAGACACCCUGAGGUCUCCUCCUGUACCCCUCUAUAGACCCAGACACCCUGAGGUCUCCUCCUGUACCCCUCUAUAGACCCAGACACCCUGAGGUCUCCUCCUCUACCCCUCUAUAGACCCAGACACCCUGAGGUCUCUCUCCUCUCUCUCUCUCUCUACACUACAACAGUAAUUUAGUAGCCUACUGUAGUGGGAUCUGUCUCUGUAUCCACAGCAUCUGAGUUGGAGUGCUGAUCCAGGAUUAGGUUCCAACCUGUCCAUAUAAUUUGAUUCAUUAUGAGCUAAAAGGCAAAACUGAUCCUACAUUAUGAAUCACUCCAUACUAGAUCUACUCUGAGAAGCUUUGAGGAUACAGGCCGAGUCCCCCAGUCCUGGUGGCUAAACUGAUCCCAGAUCAGUACUGCUGCUCUGAGAAGCUUUGUGGAAACAGGCCCAGUCCCCCAGUCCUAGUGGCUAAACUGAUCCUGGAUCAGCACUGCUGCUCUGAGAAGCUUUGUGGAUACAGGCCCAGUCCCCCAGUCCUGGUGGCUAAACUGAUCCCAGAUCAGCACUGCUGCUCUGAGAAGCUUUGAGGAUACAGGCCCAGUCCCCCAGUCCUGGUGGCUAAACUGAUCCUAGAUCAGCACUGCUGCUCUGAGAAGCUUUGAGGAUACAGGCCCAGUCCCCCAGUCCUGGUGGUUAAACUGAUCCUAGAUCAGCACUGCUGCUCUGAGAAGCUUUGUGGAUACCCAGGCCCCCAGUCCUGGUGGCUAAACUGAUCCUAGAUCAGCACUGCUGCUCUGAGAAGCUUUGAGGAAACAGGCCCAGUCCCCCAGUCCUGGUGGCUAAACUGAUCCUAGAUCAGCACUGCUGCUCUGAGAAGCUUUGAGGAUACAGGCCCAGUCCCCCAGUCCUGGUGGCUAAACUGAUCCUAGAUCAGCACUGCUGCUCUGAGAAGCUUUGUGGAUACAGGCCCAGUCCCCCAGUCCUGGUGGCUAAACUGAUCCCAGAUCAGCACUGCUGCUCUGAGAAGCUUUGAGAAGCUUUGAGGAUACAGGCCCAGUCCCCCAGUCCUGGUGGCUAAACUGAUCCCAGAUCAGCACUGCUGCUCUGAGAAGCUUUGAGGAUACAGGCCCAGUCCCCCAGUCCUGGUGGCUAAACUGAUCCCAGAUCAGCA
ensembl:lncRNA